rnacentral:misc_RNA from 1 species
GAUGAAGAACGCAGCGAAAUGCGAUACUUGGUGUGAAUUGCAGAAUCCCGUGAACCAUCGAGUCUUUGAACGCAAGUUGCGCCCGAAGCCAUUAGGCCGAGGGCACGCCUGCCUGGGCGUCACACGUCGUUGCCCCCCCAUCUACUCCUUCGGGAUUGCGGGGGGCGGAUGAUGGCCUCCCGUGCGCCUCGUCGCGCGGUUGGCAUAAAUGCCAAGUCCUCGGCGACGCACGCCACGACCAUCGGUGGUUGCGAAACCUCGGUUGCCCGUCGUGUGCGGUCGUCGCGCAUCGAGGGCUCGAAAAAAUUGCCGGGCUCCGGCUCGGCUUUCAACGCGACCCCAGGUCAGGCGGGGUUACCCGCUGAAUUUAAGCAUAUCAAUAAGCGGAGGA